GGUAAUGUGGCCGAGUGGUUAAGGCGGUAGUUUCAGGGACUAUUUCUUCGGAGCGUAGGUUCGAAUCCUGCCAUUACCA
rnacentral:tRNA from 1 species